rnacentral:misc_RNA from 1 species
UUUGGGUUUGGGUCCCCUCUUCUUGGGCCCAUACAGCUCACGCUCCCUCUCCUUUUGUUCGAAGGCUGCAAUGAGCCGCGAGUCCAGGAUGUUCUCCUCGGGCUCCCAAGUGCUGUACUUGAUCGCCCACCCCUUCCAUUUCACCAGGUACUCGAUGCGUCCCUUUCGGAUCCGCCGUUUGAUGAUGGAUUCGGCCGCGAAGACCCGCUCGCCCACUGCAG